GCUUACGGCCAUACCACCCUGAGAACGCCCGAUCUCGUCUGAUCUCGGAAGCUAAGCAGGGUCGGUCCUGGUUAGUACUUGGAUGGGGGACCGCCUCGGAAAACCAGGUGCUGUAAGCU
rnacentral:rRNA from 1 species